UUUGGCUCUAUUGUCUUAAAGACUAUCUAUGAAUACGACUUUCAAGCGAGCUAGGCAGAAAUUUUCGAUUAAGAAAAAUCUAACGAAGACCUCUCAAAUGAUUCAGUUAAUGUUAAAACGAUAAUUGCGUGGAUUCGAUUAUUACUUAUAUACUAUAAGGAUCGGGUACCUGGUGAACACGUUCCUCUGGGCCUUGGACUCGCUGUAACGCGCCAUCAGCGUGACCAGCGCCUUCUUUGCUGUGUCGUAGUUCUCGUCCAGGCGCACGCGCACCCCUCGCAGCCGCUCGUUCGUCUCGAUCACCUCUUCCUUCGUCUGACCGCCUGGUGACAAAUAUAUUUCGAUUAAUUAUAAUAAAAAUUUCAAAUUACACACGCAAGAACAAUUAUGUGAUAACUCGAGUUUCGCGAACGAAGUUGCGGGCAUCAGAUAGUUGAUAAUGAAAUGGCCUUUUCAUAUAACUUAACUAAACAAUUAUUCCAAUUACUUAAUUGUAUCGUUAACUUAUAUGAAAAGGCUGUUUUAUUUAUCGAAACCCCAAAACAGAAUUAACAUACUUAUACGAAUUGCUGAAUAAUUAAAACCUCGACAAAUGUGAUUAAAUGCAUCUCAAACAAAUUGCAAGCCAGUGCUCAAUAUAACAAAAAUUGGAUACAUAAUAUUGAUGUAGGUACUUAGGAUUUCUUUAUAAUUUGUUUUAGGUAAUUAUUAUUUUUAUGUUAAUUUUCAACACAUACUAAUAUUUUAAAAGCCAAAAUCUGUUUUAUCUGUUACGCUUUCACUAGUAAACAGCUAAACUGGUGGCAUUGUUUUAUUGUUUCAACAAAAUUUGAAUUGCCUACUGGAGGCAGUGUAAAUCCGCCACUGCUUUUUAAAUUGCAUUGAUACAUGUGAAAUUAAGAACUUGUUACAUACAUGUUAAUCAGUGACUGUAUCUUUUUAAUUAAAUAAAUGUGAGAGUAUUUCGUCAGCCACAUAAAUUUCAAAUUGAAUAUUUUCAUUGGAAAAUAAAUUAUUUACAAUGAGUGAUCAAAUUUAAUUAUAAAUUAUUAUCUCUCCAGAGCAAACAAUGUGAAAUGCUGCAUAUUGAACAUUUUGCGAGAUGGAUUUCACAUUUGAUCGAACUUACAUUGGAUUGACUAUUGAAAAUAUUUUUAUUAUAGUACAAUAAACGUGUUUCAGUUCAGUUGGCCUACAAAUUGAUAGGAUUAUUGCUAGUUUAAGUCCCAUUGCCGGGCAAAAGCCUCCCCAAAUUUCUUCCAAGCAUCCUGUUAUUGUUUUCUUAUCAUACGAUCCUGGGCUUUCCUCUUUUCCGAUAUCGGUCGGUUAGAAGUAUAGAUAAAAGAAAAAUAUUUUGGAAGAAAUAACAUUUAAUUUGUUAUGAAAUAUUAAGAUAUUUCAUAACAAAUUAAAUGUUAUUUCUUGCAAUUUCUAAGCAAUUGUGAUUUGUGUUAGCGAUAUGUUACCUCCAUAUGGAGGGUAGCAUAACAUUUUAACGUGGUACUAAUGUUAAUCUUUGUUUUUCCUUAACUCUUUCAUUUAAAUUGUAAUUCGUCGUACAGAAAUGUACUUGGAGAAAUAUGAUCUCGAAGCAAGGUGCUCGAUGAACAAAAUUUUCUAAUUUUAUAAAGUGUUACACGUGUUACAAGUGUAAAUGUAAACACGUAGGGAACCCAAAACAAACAUUUAUUUUAUUUAUUUUAUACAAAGAUCUUGGACUCGCCCAGUGAAGAUGGAAAAUGGUCUAUUAUAAAUAUAAUACAUUCUGAUUUCUACUACAAAUUUAAAUAAUCUGGGUAUUGUAUUCGUAUUCUAUACUUUACCAGUUAACUCGCUAAGUGAUUUCCAAUUUUAAUGUAAGUAGGUAUUUUAGUACGUGAACUAGUGUUGCCACUAGAAAGAAAUCAAUAAAUAUCAUAAACACAAAAUUAAAUAAUUUAUUCUGCAAAUAUCUCAGUAAUGAUCAUAGUUGAUCUUAGUUAAAUUAAAACUAAGUAUACUUAUACAAUACCAGACCGACACAACGACAAGUGGCAAAAACUAUAUGAACGUAGAUUGUAGGUAUGUACUUAUUUUGGAAUGUUUUCCUUAGAAAUGAACGUGAACAAAAGGAAAUAAUUUCGCUUGAGAUGUUCUCCAAACAAGUGUUUAUUAACUAAACAGCCGAGACCAUACUGCCGACGAAUGAUUUAUUGGGUAUUUUUUAAUAAACAGAUAAAUAUUGUUUAAGUAUAUAGAAAAUUAUUUUCGAAAUAGUAUGGGCCGAGAAUUUUAGUAACAUCAAUGGAAAGAGAUUAGUGGAAGAAAAACUGGGAGACAACAUCAACAAGCUAGUGGUUUGUUGAUGAUACGUCAAAAUAAAACGCGUUCAAAAUUACUUUGAAAGGUGAAUAAAUAAAAACAAACCGAAUAUAAUGCCCAGUGCUAGGGCACCUUUUUUAUGGAUGGGCAAGGAGUUUGGGCCAUGACCCACCAUGCGGCAUAUAAAUGGAGAGACAACUUUUUUAAAUAAGUGUCCGGUCACGCAGGAAUAGAAAACAAUUUAUUCAUAAACAAAAAAAAAUCUUCUGAAUAAUCCUAUUUAUUCCACUGUGUUCUCUUCCCGAGUCCCAACAACCUUGACCGGGAGCGCAGAGGCUGUAUUCGGGGUGGCGGCGAUCACGUCUGCUCUCUGCCUGUCUACACAAAUCAAUGAUUGGCGCUUUUAGCAUUCCCCGUGGACUCCACCAAUUUGCUUCGAGAACGUUCUCCAAAUUUUGUUUCGAUGCAGGAUGUAAAUGCAGAGGAAAUAAAAUGACGUCACCCUCUCACCGCACCUCUCACAUGCCCGCCACCAGAGCGCACAUUUAUAAAGGCUUUCUAUAAAUGCCCGUAUAUGCAUACCAUGCUGCAACAAAUGGUUUGCAAAUUGUAGGUUACAUAAAUAUUAAAAUCACUUUGGGGUGUGGGUUUAUUGUUUUUAUUCAUAGAAUUUAUUGUCUUCCUACAAAAUAGGCAUGUCCUGAAAAUGUAUGCAUCGCUAAGGUUAAAAAACUUCCUAAGGCCAUCGAUUUGGACCACUGUAGAAAUGCUAUAAUUUUCUGUGAAAUAAAAUAAAUAAAUAAAUUUGUUUCCUAAAUAUGUAAUUUAUUACGAUUUUUAAACAAACUAUACUUUUAUGUUUGCAUUCCCUCGAUGAUUUUUGAGUUUCUUAAU